rnacentral:lncRNA from 1 species
AUCUUUUACCAAAAAAAUUACUUAUCUGAAAUUAACAUCUUACAGGACAUGCUGUGUUUUAUCUGGAAACCUAACCAUGGAAGAGAAUGAAGCUUGCAUGGAGACAGAGUUCUCCUUUGAGGGGAGUAGCGAACUGUGGGAAGUCUUUGGAAGAAGUAGAACAUUGAUGGGAAUUCAGAGGCGAAGCUUCCCAUGAGCCCCUGGGAAGCCGGAAGCAGGCACAGUGCUCAGCCAACCAUGGGUGGUGAUUUCAGCUCAGAACAAC